UGAGCCAGGAGGAGGAGCAGAAGGAGCAGGUUGAGUUGCAGUCCGUUGUGGGCAUCAGAGAUCCUGAGAGAAGGAGCAAUCCAUCCAGUCCCCCUCAGGACCCAUUUUUCAGGAGGAUCUCUCAGGAAGAUCCAAGUAAGGACACCUCAGGAGGGAAGACUCGAACGAAGUCACUGAAAGGCCUGCAGAAGCAAUCAAGUUGAUCAAGCCUGCCAGAAAUACUUCUUCAGUCAAAAGCUUUUGGCUCUUUC